GAGAGACUGACCUAGCCGCCCAGCCUACAUCUUUCUCCCAUGCUGGAUACUUCCUGCCUUCGAACACGGAACUUCAAGUUCUUCCGUUUUGGAACUUGGACUGUCUCUCCUUGCUCCUCAGUCUUUAGACAGCCUACUGUGGGACCUUGUGAUCAUGAACAACUAUCCUGAGCUGCUGUUCAUGAUUCAGGUUGGCAUCAAUCAAAUUGGAAGCACAUGAAUUAUACAUUAUUGUUUCUGAGCCACAGUUUUUUGUUUUUAUCUGCUAAAGACAUGAAGAAUGGGAACACUACCAUUGCAUCUCCCAGCCCCAGAGAAGGAUGUUCACUCCCAUGUUCUCACCUUUUCUUCAUCUUUAUUUGAUGGCUAUAACUUUGUCAUUCAUAUUUUUUAAAAAUCGUGGGUGGAUGUUUUGGAUUUUUUUAAGAUAUACAGUAAAUACCAACUUCUUAAAUUUUCCCUCGCUGCUUCCAGAGGAGGCUGGUAUAUUUUUUCUCUGUUCAACAACGAGAGAAGUAUCAAGUUUUAGUUAUCUUCUACAGCACAUCUUUUGAGUAAAGACAUGCAAGUAGUACUGAAACGACUGCAAUGUGAUAAUCACGGAGACUGGACUGGUUCAACAUCCAGAUGUUUCGAUUUUUUUGAUAAAUCAAUCUCCAAGGUUCAGCUCAUUCACAGUGUGAGGCUACUUACCUGUUCAAAGUACAUCACUUUUGUCCUCCAGUUUUCAUAUUGGCUUCCUGUCAAGGUUUGCAUUGAUUUUAAAGUUUUAUUGUUGACGUUUAAAGCACUUAAUGGCCUGAUACCUUCUUACAUUAAUGAUU
rnacentral:lncRNA from 1 species